CAGCAGUGACUAUAGAUUGUCAAUAAUUAUUGACAACUCCUGCAAGUAAUUAAGUAUAAAAGAAAAAUAAAUGAAAGAACAGAAGGAGUAUUGAUACGUAUCUAUAAAGUUUGAACAGUUUAUGAAAACUUUUUGAGUUAUUAAAGCCUUAAAUUAAGUAUUCAGAUUAUUUUAUUAUUUCAAAACUUUGGUUGAAAUAUAAAGAUGCUUUCCUCCUCUGAAUUAAAGAAUUGGCCAAUUUUCACUAUAUUAGAGCCCCAGUUCAUUUCAAAAGUCUGUAUGGUUAUUGUGCAUGAUUACUCAGGCAACAAAGCUUUAUUAGUAACAAAUGAUAACAUGGUAUAUGCAAUAGGAACUAAUACAAAUGGGUGUCUUGGAACUGGUGAUACUUGUGAUACAUUUAAUCCAAUUAUAGUUAAAGAAUUAUGUAAAAAGGAUAUAAAAACCUUUUCAUUUGGCAAAGAUCAUGUUCUGGCCCUCACAUACCAAGGAAUGGUAUAUUCAUGGGGACAAAAUGAUUAUGGUCAAUUAGGAAAUGGAUGUUACCAACGGUCUUUAAUACCAACUAUUGUAACGAAUCCUGUACGCAAUGAACACAUUACAGAUAUAGCUUGUGGAAGUUAUCACUCUCUUGCACUGACAAAUGAAGGAAAGGUAUAUUCAUGGGGUGGUUCUGGUAAUCGGAUAAAUGUACCUAUCAAAGUGGAGAUACAAAGUGGUUUAAUUGAUGAAUACAUCGUUUCUGUUACUUGUGGUAUGGAAUUUAACAUGAUAGUUACAGAUAUGGGUAAGAUUUAUGGUUGGGGCGAAAAUAGUGAGGGUCAGCUAGGAAUUGAUCAUUAUUCUAGCCAGAAGAAUCCUUGCAAAGUAGCUGCACUCGAUGGCAUUGUGAUUGAAAAGGUAGUUUGUGGUUGUGUACAUACUCUAGCAUUGAGUACUACGGGAGUUUUGUAUGCAUGGGGUGGAAACAAUAGCGGGCAGUUGGGAUUUGGUAAUCAGGGUGAUCGUUUUGCUCGUCCAGUAAAGAUAGAGAAGCAUGAAAUGGGAAGAGUACUGGAUGUAGCGGCUUCAUAUUGUAACGAUAUAAGUGUAGCUAUGGGAGAGAAAAACGUGGUAUUUGUUUGGGGACGUUGUCUAGAACAACGUAUCAGAGUCCCAACGUAUACACCAUUAAAACAUUUGCACGAUGCAUUUGCGUUUUAUUCAUCGCGUUGUGUAACGCAUCAACCACUUAUAGUUUAUGGAGAACCAACGGAAGCGAGUUUGAUCGACUGUUUGUGGAAUGCAUUUAACGACCCAACUACAAGCGACCUGAUCAUAAAAGUGCAAGGAAAACCCAUCUACGUACAUAAAGCUAUUUUAAAAAUACGUUGUCGAUACCUUAGAAGAAAGUUUGACGAAGACUGGGAUAAGCAGAAUCAGAGUGUUAUAGAAAUCGAGGAAUUUUCCUACAAUGUAUAUGCAGGCUUCUUGCAAUAUCUGUACACCAGUGAGAUUAAUUUACUUGUAGAAGAUGUAGCAGAGCUUUUUCAUAUAGCGGAUACUUAUUCGGAAGAUGAAUUGAAGGGUCUCUGUAUGUUUAGACUAGAGGAAGGGAUUGCUAUUGGAAAUGUAAUCUCUUUGUAUAAUAAUGCUGUUGAAUAUAAAGCUAAGGAAAUACAGGAAUACUGCUUAAAUUUUGCAGCGAAGCGUAUCACCGUAAUGUUACUUACUCCGGGUUUCGCUGAAUUAGAUGGCCGUAUAUUCAAAAUUUUUGUAACGAAAGCUGUUGAAAAUGGUGCUUUUAACGAAUAGCUUACGAUAUCUGGCCGACAAAGUCUGAAAGAUGUACAUCUUUCACGUGAUACAUGAUCAACCUGUAUUGGGGCGGAACAUUUGCUCGGUAAGAAAAGGCUUUGUCGAGUAAGAAGAACCAUUGAGAGGAACGAAAGGGACAAAUUCGAUGGAGGAUGAGCCAUGUUCAUUGUACCAGCAUCUCUGGCCGCGUGUAAUUGCGCCUGGAACCCCUGCACCCGACCUCGGCGGUUCUUACGGCUUCAGCAGUUUGGUGGUGAAGUCGUCAUAUGUAAUGUUGAGAAAAGGGCUGGCACAACCGCUCCCUUUGUUGGUGGUGAAGUCGUCAUAUGGGGUAAACUUUACCUCAGGGGCCCAAAAAUUAUGGCCUUUUUUUUUACCUUCUUGAAGUAUUUUACGUAUAGAAUCUAAAAAUCCUAGUUUUAAGGCGCGGAAUUCAUUGGUUCAGAAGUUAUACGUGUGUAAAAGUGAGCGUUUUUAGCGUAUACCGGGUGUGCUGUACUCCGAUGCUAACCCUUUUUUUUUUCUUUUUUUUUUAAUAAAGAGAGGAAAUGCAUUUGCUCACGCGCGGGUUGUUCCCCC